rnacentral:rRNA from 1 species
AUGAUUUCACUUAUUUCAAAUUGGGCCAGUGAUCUUGGUUGUGUUGCAUACAUACAAAUAAGCUAUCGGUUACAAAACAUACAAAAAAGGUUGUUGGUCUACUUCCCUAUUGGCUAUAGCCGCAAUAUUCACUGUUUCAACUUGGCGUUCCUCGCCAAAUAGGCGUGGCGCCUUCUAGAUAAUCCCGAUUCCUUGUGUGCUUCUAUCCUAAGGGCAAAGUACUACCCCGAUGGUGAUUUGUUGAAUGCUAAGCUGAGGAAAGGCUCCUCCUUGACCUGGCAAAGUAUUAUGGCAGGUAGAAAUUCCCUCAAACGAGGCUAUAUCUGGCGAGUGGGGAAUGAACCAAAAAUUAACAUUUGGGAAGAUGACUAGAUCCCAAAUUGUGCUACUAGGAAAAUUGUAACGCCUAAGGGGGGACAUCUGUUAACUUAGGUGGGUGAUCUCAUUAAUCCUGCUUCCAAUAAUUGGGAUGAAGACUUAGUUAGACAAAUUAUGCGGCCCAUCGAUGUACAACGGAUUCUCUCAAUUCCACUCUCACAACAUGGUAUGCCAGAUUUCGUUGCCUAGAGUUAUACGAAAAAUGGUAUGUUUUCGAUUCGGUCAGCUUAUUCCAUGGAGUGGAACCACCAGUACGGCCGCAAAUUAAAAUACUCUAAUGGGAUCGGGCGAACCACAGUUAACCCUAUCUGGGAGAAGAUCUGGAAGUUAGCUUGUCUGGCAAAAGUAAAAAAAAUUAUGGUGUACACUACAUGGAACACUCCCAUGCCGGGUUACGCUCGCUAA